rnacentral:rRNA from 1 species
CGGCGGACGGGUGAGUAACGCGUGGGUGACCUGCCCCAUACCGGGGGAUAACAGCUGGAAACGGCUGCUAAUACCGCAUAAGCGCACAGAGCUGCAUGGACUCGGUGUGAAAAACUCCGGUGGUAUGGGGAUGGGCCCGCGUCUGAUUAGGCAGUUGGCGGGGUAACGGCCCACCAAACCGACGAUCAGUAGCCGGCCUGAGAGGGCGACCGGCCACAUUGGGACUGAGACACGGCCCAA